UCAACCGUCGCCACAGUGAGGUGAAUUCUUUGUGCUAGCGCAGUGAACCUUAUAUCUUCAUAUCAAGAAGUAAGAAGAAGAGGCAAUCGCAACAUCGUUUUGCAGCUGCAACAUUCAAAAAACACGUAAUAUGAAACGAAAUAACAUUAAAUUAUCUGUCUCGCGUAAAUCAAUAAAUAUAGUAUCGGUGAGACAGCGUAAUACGGUUAUGUCCGAAAUCAGAAACAGCCACUGAACUAUAUCCUAUACUGGAAUGCUCACUCAAAUGGGAAGAAACGCGACGACAGAGAUAGAGAAUUGUAACCAGCCUGUCUUUUUCUAACCGUAUAUUACUUGAACUAAAAACAUAGGCAAAAUGGCGGCCGUAACGCUCGGACGUGCACAGACGUGCAUAGUGACAUAUUGUUCUUUUGGUUAGUUAUUAGAACAAAAUGGGUAGACGUUGUGGAGUGAGUAAUUGUAAAAAUUAUAAUCAAGAAAAUACGAAUAUUUCACAGAUUACCAGCUUCUGAAGAAAUGCGGCAGCAAUGGAUAAACGCUAUUCCACCAAAUUUAUUGCGCAUAUCUGCCAAAUUAAUUUUUGUAUGUAGUGCACAUUUUACAAAAGAUUCUUUUCAACCUGCUUCAAUGGGACUGUCCAAAAAUAUCUUUAAAAAAUCGAUAAUACCUACUCUUUUUAAAGAAAAUUAUGAAUGUAAAAACCCUAUGAAUAAGAGUGAGAAAAAUGAAGAGAUGAACAUUUUGUAAAACGUUUGCUUUUCCUCGUCUACUAGUGAUAUAGAAAAUAGUCCAUCAGUGAUCACAGCUAUUACUACAAAUGAAAACAUGAUAACUGAAAGAAAAAAAAAGAAAUUGGAAUGCAAACGAAAUCAAUUAUUACUAAAAAUGUUCAAGUACAAGUAUCUCCAAAACAUUGUAAAUUAUCCAGAAGAGAAGUACAAUUACAAAAUGAAAAUCGAAUUUUGAAAAAGCGUCUUUAUCGUCAAAAUGACAGAAUAACAUCUAUGAAAAGCUUUACGCAAUAUCUUCGAAACAACAAGUGCGGAAACUUAGUUUAUUAAAAAAAUUGAUGAACCAAAAGAUGUUAACAAAUAAAGGUAACGAUUUAAAUUUGAACGAAUGAAUAGUCAAGGCUCGUGAAAAUUGAAACUAAGAAUGAAGAGGCUAAUAUGAGCCAUCUAAGAUUAAAUAGGCCAAUACGAGCCAUUCCCAGGUUG